rnacentral:lncRNA from 1 species
AAAAUCUCUUUUGUUUCUCCUUCUCUCCCACAAAACCCUAACACCGCCUCUCUUUCCAUUGCCAAGGUUGGCCAGUGUUGGAUCUCCGAAACACCACCCAAAUCUCACCAUGCAACCUCUACCUUUCCCUCAAUCAAAGUCCACUAUCAUUCCCCCAUAAAACCUCAUCAAAGCAGCCUAUUUCUUGAAUCUAAGGCUGACGGAAAAGGAGUUCGUUAGGUUUCCAGAUUUCUUUGAGCAAUAGGGUCUAAAACGAGUAUUAACCAUUUGUUCUCGUCAAGAACAUGUGGUUAAUACCUGUGUUGGAUCAAAUCAUAAUUUCUUAAAUUCUAUCAGUUUAGGAAUCAAAAGAUUUCAGAGGUAUCGUCUUCCAUAUUCUUCGUGUGUUUUGUUUAAAUUUUCAAUACUUUGUUCUUUUGUUUUAUUCUUCUCCAUAUUAUGUUCUUUAUUUGGUAUUUAGUUUUUAUUUUUUGCUAUUCAGUGGUUAAUUUCAAUUAAUCGUUUUGGCUAGAAUAAUUUUAUUUGUUAUUACAAGUUAGCAUUAAGUUGUUUAGUUUAGUCGAUUGAGCUGUUUCAGAACUAGUUUCGCCAUGUUUUCAUUUUUAGGGAAAUUUUGACCCUUCUCUGGGACAAUUUUACUUAGCCCAAGGAAUUCACGAGGGCCUUGAAAUCAGAGGCAUCAAAUAGUUCGUUUGGGUCUGCCUAGACCCAUUAGGCUGGGUCAAUUGACCCAUUUUUUUUCUAAGAUUUAAGAGGAAAUAACAGGGGUUGUCAGGUAGCUUAGGUAUUCGGAGGAUAUAUUAUCUUUCAUAACAAACUAAGAUGCUUCUAGGGUGGGUGGGAUUUGAAUUUCAGCCUUUUGGGUAGUCGAACUUGGAGAACAAGUCAGAAAUAUAUGGAUACCUAAGCAAUAAUGAGAAUUCAGAAAGGAUUGAAAAUGAAAACUGAAAAUCUGAAGCUCCCCCUUAGUUUUUCCUAUAAAAGACAGUAGAUGAUGCCUUAAUGGAAGAGUUUUUUUAGCCUUUACAAUUCCCCCCAAAAAAUAUUCUAUAGUUUCCAGAAGCUGAAAUUUGAAUUUCAGAUUCAAAAACUAGGUCUGGAAUUUGAAACCUCUUUUAGAUCUUAAACUUUUCAGAAAAUAAAAAAAAUAGCAGAAACUCCAAAAGAUAUAUUGUUACAUCAAGCUUUUGUAGAUCGAUUGCAAGUUCAGCUUGUUAAUCUGAGUUCCUAGUGUUCCUGGACUCAAUUGCAAGUUCGUUAUUGGUUUAUUCAAGUUAUUUUUGGGUGUUUCUAAUAGAUGAAGGUUUUCUAGAAUUUAUGGGUUCAAUUUCAAGUUCAUUUGGGUUUAUUCAAGUUGUUUAUGGUUGAUUUCCUAGUUUUCUCUGAUUUCGAACUCUUCCUGGAUUGUCGAAUUCAUUUCUGGGCUGUUAUCCGAUCUCUGCUCGUUAUUGCUGCUGAUUUCUUCUUCUUAUAUUUCAAACAUCCAAGUACAUUUUAUGUAACCUUCAAGCUUGUGUACAUGAAGUGAAAUGUUACUUGAGAUGAUUUCGGAUUUCUCAUGUUUUGUUUUAAUUCAAAAGUAUAGAACAAUUAUGUUUAUUCGAAUCACUUGUAUAAUUGGACAGUUUGAGGUUGUGUAGGACUGUUAAACUCAUUUGAUUUGUGUGAAGAUUUGAAACAUCAGGUUUAAUUUGGUUACACCUUAAUUCGUGUUGUAGUUAAAUAUGAUAUUUUGCCUAUGAUAGUUUAGCAUGGGAGGUUUGUGCUAGUAGUAAGAAACUGAUUCUGAAAUCGUUAAUGAUAUAGUUUGUAGUUAAUGUUAAAAUAAUGAUUACAUUUAGGAAUUGAACAUUCUGGGUCAUUUCAGCUUUAAUUAUACUAGUCAUGAGGGCUGCAUAAGGAUCACGUCCCUAUUGGAAUCAAACUGUGAGAGCUUGAAACUGCUGUUAUUGUGUUAGUCUUUAAAAUUUGCAAGCCUAUUUACUUUUUAAAAGGUUGUUUAAUUGCGGAUAGUCAUUGUUAGGUUGAAAAUAGUUUCGAGUUUUCUUACAAAUGUGAUAGCCUGUUGUUAUUUAAUUUAAAUUCGAUGGCAUCUUAAGUCUUUACUUCAAGUUGAAAAUCAGAUGUUGAGCCCUUUUGUUUCCUGAAUUUGGGCCUAUGCCUUCUGUCAAUUUGGGCCUUGUUCCAAAAUCCAGGCAUUAGAAACUUCACAAACUACUUAAUUAGGCUUUUUGUAGAGACAAUCCAUAAGAGGAAAAUCGUAGUCUUUUAGGUUAGCUUUUUAAAAAAAUGAGGUGCGCCGCGCCCAAACAAAACCAUAAAUCUCAUUGCCCUCUUAAUCAUAUUAAAAAUACUUUAGACCAUGGGACGAUCCAUUAGCGAAUUUUAUGGCCUCCCACAAAGUUAAUGAUAUGCUAGUUGCUUUAGGCCCGACAUUUAAUAAUAAUACUUUCCUAAAUUCGGGUGCACAUUUAUGUGACCCAAAUUUAAAUCUCAACGAAGUUGAAAUGUGUCAAAACCUACGAGUGUAUUUAUGUGAUGUGAUUCAAGAUAUGUUUUCACGACAUUGCAAUUCUCUUUUAAAAUAAUAAACAUGUCUUAAAAUCAGAUAUUUAGCCAAAUAUGACAGUUGAGCGACCAUGCUAAAACAACAGGACCUGGGAUGCCUAACACCUUCUCCCGGGUUAACAGAAUUUCUUACUCGGAAUUUUUAUUCGCGGAAUGUUAAACAGAGACAAUGAUUUCCUCGAUUCGGGAUUCAACUGGUAACUUGGGACACCAAUAGUCUCCUAAAUGAUAACUCUGAAUUUUUAAUAAAUAAAUUCCGUUUCAAUUGUCCUUUAAUUAGAAAAACUCCUUUAGGCCCUUACGGGUGUAGGUAAAAAGGAGGUGUGACCAGGGGUGAUUUGUGUGGUAUCCAAUAUUCGAUCUUGAAAAUUUUGAUUCUUCUAGGUGUUCUAACUGCUACUGUUUUCGAUAUUAAAAUACAAAAAUAAAAGAAUACAAAGAUUUUUACGUGGAAAAUACCUGGCUCAAUAGGCGAAAAACCCACAACCUACUACUCCGUAGUAUUUUCUCAAACAUCCACUAAACUCAAUGAGCCAAAAUAGUAUUUACAAAAAUCUUGUAAACCUAAGGAUUAACUAUAAUCCCAGUGUGGCACACGGCCUCAACUGUUGCGACCCUUCAAGUUAACUCUAACUUGAACACUCAAAGUGCCUAAUACAAUUGCUUCUAUGAAAGUUGGAAAGGUACAAGUUUUAAGCCACCUAAUGUAAUUGAACUAGAAUAAGAAUAAAUACAAUGGAACUGGUUCUUCUAUAUCGUUCAAGUAGCUGCAUGAGUGCACUCUUUAUCUCACAUAAAUUGCUUGCAAAAUUGUCUUGCUCUUUUGCUCUCAAUUUAGCUUAACUUCUGUGUGUGCAUAUCUAUAAAAGAGAACAACUCAGUAACUUAUUAGGUUAGUAAUCAGAUUUUGAUUGUGAUUCAAUUUCUUAUCCUCCAUUUAAUUUGAGUCCUAGAACAAUAUAAACUCCAAUCCUUAUCUGAUGUGUUCUCUUCUGAUAAGGACACUUCUUCUCCUUAUCCCAUAUGCAAUAUUUUCGAUCAGUUCAGAAGAUAUUCAGAAGAUAUUCCUGCUUGAUACCAAAGGCUUAUCUUCUUCAUGGCAUCCCAUAUGCAUGGGCCAUAACCACUGUGUCUCAUAAUAUUGACCUGGCCUUUCACUGGGUUCAUUUGUCAUUCUUCAAAACUUCAAGUGAACUUGGGCCGAGUAAUUCCCCUUUUUUAAUGAUGAUAAACUCUGUACUUUUACUGAUUAGAGAACCUAUGGAACUCAUCUAAUUAUCAAUACUUUUACUUAAGAUAAUUUAAUUCAUCAUUAAGGACCAUAUUUAAUCAGGUUAUAAAUAUCACUUUUUUAGAAUAAAAGUAAAGCAUAAUAUCUCUUCUCCCUUUUGGCAUCAUCAAAAAGUUUCAUAUCAUGUGAAUCCCAGAUUGUAAUAGUUACACAUGGCCAGUGGGUCAACUGCAUGUUAAAGCAUGGUUUAGUGAAACAAUAAUCAACCUUGACAAAAACUUAACUAUUGGGAGCAAAUUCAUCACAAGUAAGAGAAAAGUUGAUUAUCAUUGAUAGUAAAUGCUUCUACAACCAGUCCACAAAAAGAAAGAAAAACAUUCAACCAUGAGAAACAAAAACAAGCAAAGAAAACUCCCUAAUCUGGGUCAUUGGGGGGUUACUAGACUGGUUCAAGGACAAUUCUGGGGGACCUAAGGCUUGGAGGAACUAGAAGGUUGGGAUUGGAGAAUAUUGAGCAUCGUUUAAAGCAUCCCUUCACCCUUUUCGUUUUCUUUUGCUAGCUCAUCUUUUAGGCUAUUCCUCUCAUUUUCAAGUUCAGCAACUCGAGCCUUAAGCCUAGCAAUCUCAGCAUCCUUUGACCAAGACUCUUUAACCAAAUCCCUAACCUUGUUGUUCACUGGAGUCUUCAAAGAUAAACCAUGUUCAAUUGGGCCUGUACUGAGGAGAUAGUCACAAGCCUACAGGGUUUUGACACCAAAAUGGUCCUUGCUGGAGGCCAUCUUUCAUUUCUUCAAGGGAAAAUUCAAUCUAUCCAGCACACUCAUAAAUACGAAACCAUAGGGAGUAGUAAGAUCCUUGGAGCCAUUUAUGACAUUGUCCUGUAACUUGACAAUGAAGGCUGGCCAAUUAAUUUGCUUUCCUCUCACAAGGCAUUCCAUAAGAGCCAAGUCCAUAUGAUUAGAAGUAUGUCUCCUCUCCUGUCAGGGCAGCAGACACUUGUUCACAAAUUCUAAUAGCACCUUGUGCUCAGACUUCAUCUCACUCUUCUGUACAAAUCCUGCCUCUGGCACAUCUUAGCAGACUCAGUGUCACAAAAUUUCCUGGUUAUUUGGAGAGCACUAGGAAGAUCAUAUAGAUAAGGACACCUCUGCUUAUUAUAGUCAUCAUAUCCCUCGCAUGGUAUGUCUAGAAUUGUCCCCAAUUUAGGUGCAUUAAAUUGCACCUUCACUCCCCUAACCACACUGCUGACUACCCCAUUUUUCACAGUGGCAUUUGCCAUAAACACGUUCAGCUUCUUUCUUGUCAGCCUUCCAUCCAGUUGAAGGACCAUGUCCUUCCAACCUUUUACAGCUAGAGGAUCCACCAACCUAAUCAUGUCUAGAUCCUCCAGGUCUUUCAACAAUCUUCCAUUCAGAAUCUUUCUCUUGCCAAAGAUGGCAAAUCCAUCUUGUUCCGUUUCAGACUCCUCAUCUUCUUCUUCUACACUACACUCUUCUUCUUCUUCUUCAGUAACUUUUACUUGUUAUCCCUUCAUUGCAGACCUAGUUCUUUUGGCCAAGAAGGGUUCAGCAGAUACAGAUUUUGAAGACUUCUUUGCAGGAGUCUUGGUUCCUUUUGGUUUGGCAAUGGGAACCUCCACAGUUGUACCCCUCUCUUGAUGGACCAAUUCCACCUCCUCCUCCUGUUCUUCAGCAGCCUCAGAAUAUUCCAUAACCUUUUCUUUCUUCUUUUUCUUACUCUUCUCUAAAGCUUUCUAUAGUUCUCCCUUGCUUUGCUUGACCCUGCUCCUUGUAGCUUUUUCUUUUGGCAAUGAAGGAACAGCAGACUUGGAAGAUGACACCUUGCUUUUUUUAAAUGGUUUGGAAGCGAUUGGGGACUUUUUGGAAGAAGCCUUGCGCUUCUUUGGAUCAUAACUGGCCCCAACCUUCUUCAAGAUAUCAGCCAAGGUUUCCUUCACGCAUGAACCAGGUUCAUCUUGCUGCUCACUCAGAUAAACAAGGCCUUCAGCAGCCUCUCCAGAACUACUUCCCCCUGACUUGACGCCACCCUCUUCUACACUACCGCAUAUAGCAAGAACUUCUCCUUUAUUUUUCUUUCCCCUUCUUCUAGACCCAGUCCCCUCUACAAUUUGUACAGAUACAACCAACACAAACCUAUUUUUCUCCCUUUUUACCACAUCAGAAAAAGCAAAACAAGUAUUUAUUUCACUUGGAUUUCUUGAUUCUUGUCAGUGUCAGAAGACUUAUGUUAUCUACCAUCACUUGCAGAGAGAAAUACCUCAGACUCAGAUCUUGAGUCAAAUUCUUUUGCUGGACUUUCCUUCUUUUGGCUAGCUUUCAAUUUUUUGUUUAAGGCUUUUCUCAAAGGGCCCGAAGCUACAGUUUUCCUAGCAACAUUUUAUGGCGAUGAAUCCUAGGUUUGGGGCUUUUAACAGGAGGGUGGAGGAUGAAGUAUUAGGAGAUACUGGCGGGGGGAGUACCUGGGUUGUCUUGAGGGUUUGUCAUGGUAGAGAAUUUUUGGUAAUUUUGGAAAUUUUGGAUAUGAAGGAGAUGAUCAGAAUUUUGGAGAGGGUGAGUGACGGUUUUGAGCAUGAAGAAGAGAUGUGGUGUGUAUUUAAAGAGGUUUUAUGAUUAAGUUCAGUAACGGCAGGCUUUUUCAGUUGUCAAUUAAAGGUCUAAUCAUAUUAGAAUUCCGGUCUCUUGGUGAUUAAUGGACGACGCUAGUUUUUAGGAAAACAUUUUGUUUUAAUUAGACUCCUAGGGUAAUGAAACUGGUUUAAUGUUCAAUGGAUACAAUUUUUGGAAGCUUUGUGUAGUUAGGACUUUUGCUCAUGAUUGAGAAAUUUCUCUUUCUAAUUGUGCAAAGUAUAGAAACAUACCUGAACUUUCUCAUGAGCAUAUACUGAUGAACCAGGUUCUUCAAGUAAAAUUUCUCUUGAUCAUACCUCAAAUGUCAAAAUAGAAAAACUUUGUAAAAGAUCAGUGAAUCAUAUAACCACAAGUCAUAGAAAUAUACUAACUAAAGUAUGAAACUGAGUAAGAAUUAAUCUAGAUAUUUACAUGAUAUUAAGAGCUCCUAACCAAAAACAAAUUUCUUGUGCAUUCUGAAUUGGAUCUUUUAGGUGAUCUUAAUCAUCCAUAAUUCGAACAUGUUCCUUUCAAAGUUUUCUCUGCUCAUUGCUUUAGUGAAGAUAUCAGCUAUUUAUUUAUUAGUAGCACAGAAUUCUAUUGAGAUUAGCCCUUUUCUCAUAGUUAUCUCUUAAGAAGUGGUGUCUAACAUCUAUGUGCUUGGUCCUUUUAUGAUGAACAUGGUUCUUUGUCAUACUUAUAGCACUAGUUUUAUCACAAAUUAUUGGAAUACAUCCCACUUCAAUUCCAAAGUCUAUCAUCUGUUGUUUGAUCCAUAGCAAUUGAGCACAACAUGAAGCAGCAGCAACAUAUUCAGCUUCAGCAGUAGAUAGGGCUACUGAAUUUUCCUUUUUGGUAGCCCAUGGCACAGACAUGACCCCAAGAAAUGUGCCAUACCAUAAGUGCUCUUCCUGCCACUAAGAAACCUGCAUAAUCAGCAUCAGCAUGUCCUACUAGAUCAAAAUUUCUACCUUUGGGAUACUAAAGACAUAGAUCAGUGGUGCCUUUCAGAUAUCUCAGGUCUAUUGGCAGUAAGAUACAAUAGUGAAGCAAUCAUACCCCUAUACAACUUUUGAUUAACUGAUGAACCAUGUUCAUCAACAUCUAAUUUAGUCACAGUUGCAAUAGGUGUAUCUAUUUCUUUGGAGUCCUCCAUUUAAACUUUUUAAUUACUUCUUUUGUAUACUUGUAACGACCCGGCCGAUCCUAUUUCAAAUUUAUGCCUCGUUCCCCCAUUAACUGCUUCUCCUAAGUUCAUUUCUGCUAUUUUGGUUUGCCGAGACGUACGGUAUUAGGACUUGGAGUGUUUUGGUACACUUAAUCCCUAAUUGAGAACUUAAGUGUUAGAAAGUGGUUCGUAAUUGGAACAAUGUAAAGACGACCUUGGAAGGGAAAUCUAAUGGUUCAUUUAGCUCUGUUAGGUGAUUUCAGGUUGGGAGCGUGUUCGGAAGGUGUUUUAGUUGUCAAUAACUCAUAUAGGCAAGAAAUGCCAAAACUUAAAAUUUUGAAGGUUCCAGUCCGAUAGUGAAUUUUUUAUCCGAGGGUAAGAAUGGAAUUCCAGAAGUUUUUGUAGCACCUCGUGUCAUUAGGGACGUGCACGCAAAUUUUAGGUCAAUCGGACGAGUGUCGGUUAGAUUUUUUAUCGAAAGCGUAUUUUGGAUGAACUUGAAGUUCUUAGGCUUGAAUCUUUGAUUUAGUCGAGUUUCCGUUGUUGUUUUAUAUAUCGUAAGGAUUGGCGUAGGUUUGAAUAAGGUAUUAGGUUGUAUUGGUGUUUUUGGUUGAGGUCCCAGGGGCCCCGGGUGUAUUUUGGAUGCUCAUUGGACAAAUUUAUGGAGUUAUAAGAAAAAAAUUCAACAAGUCUUUGGGUAUUUCCACUUCCGCAGCUUGGGAACUGCAGAAGUAGAGCCGCAGAAGAAGAGUCGCAGAAGCGGCAUGGCAACCGCAGAAGCUAAAGGAAGGCAAGUCAGCUAGGUGCGCAGAAGCGGUGGAAUUUUCGCGAAAGCAGAAUCACUUCUGCGAGUGUAUGACCAUAGAAGCGGAACCUGGAGUUUAUGUGAGGAGUCGCAGAAACGGCUAGUGGUCCGCAAAAGUGGGACGCAUAAGCGGUCCUUGUCCGCAGAAGCGGAAAGCACUAUUAUAAAAAGUGGAAAUCCGAGGGUUUAUUUCAAAAGUUAGAUAAACCAAAAUUUAGCUCGGGAGAAGGCGAUUUUGGGUGAAAUUUGAAGAAAAGAUCAGUGGGUAAUGUUUUAUUAACCUCAUUUAGUUAUUUUUCUACCAAUGUCUAGUUAAAUCCACCAUCAGAAUUCAAAUUCAAGGUCAAAAUUGGGGGAAAUUGGAUGAAACUUCUUAGACUUAAUUAUUUUAUUUUGAUGGGCAUUUGACCUCUUAUUUGGGAGAUAUUUAUAUGGUUAGACUCGUGAGAGUACGAGGGUUCGGAAUAUUUGAAAAUUAUUUGAUUCCGAGUUGUUGGAAUGAGGGGCGUUUUGGUCAUUUUAUCUAUUUUCAUGUCGUAGCUAUACUUUUAAUUGUGGAAUUAGUUACCUAUGAUUUUAUUUAUGUUAUCUAAUUAGAUUGAAUAGAUUUGGGCCAUUUAGAGUCGGAUACUCGUGGCAAAGGCAUUGUUCAUAGUUGAUUUCGGUACCGGUUGGAGGAAAGUGGCUUGAUUAACUUUUUGUGGGGGACCUCUCCCCUUAGGAUAUAGUAUUUGUUAUUUUAAAUGCCUUGUACGCAAGGUGACAGACAUGUACUUGGACUAAUUGCUGCAAAUCUGUUUUAAUUAGAAUAUUUAAGCUAUGUUUUCUUGCAUAUUUGCCUAAUCUAAAUGCCAUUUAACUUGUGUUAUCUUAAGAAAAGCAUGUGUAGAUGACUUACUUGCUUAUUUGCCUAAAUUGUAUUAUCUGUCCUCCGUGAAGCAUGCUAGACUAAAAUUCUAUUAAUUGUUCAUACUUAGAAUUAUAUUAUAUUUGAAUUAUUGUGGUGUGUUUAGAAUUUAGGACUACGGGACAACAUCCUGGAAGUUUCCCCUACACGUGUUACAUACUAAGACCGAGAGUGUGGAUAUCAAGAGAUCCCUGGCACAGAUAUGACUAUAAGAUGGAGGAUACCAGAAGAUCCACGGGAUACUAAGAAAUCCCUUGUGUAUAAAUGGAGGGUACCAACAGAUCCUCGGGAUACUAGGAGAUCCCUCAUGUAUAUUAUGAGGAUACCAGGAGAUCCUCGGGACACCAGGAGAUCCCCAAUGAUAAAUAUCUGAUGGUCUUUGUACUUCUAUUUAUUUACUGUGUUGGUUCUCGGUUACAGUCUUAUUUGUUAUCUUGCUAGAUUCUCGCAAUAGAUUAUAUCCAUGUUGUCUUUUCCUUAUCAUAUUGAUUAUUAUGUUUUUAUCUCAAUGGGGCCUCGACCUUCCUUGUCACUACCCGACCGAGGUUAGUCUUGCCACUUACUGAGUACCGCUCUGGUGUACACACACCUCUUCUACGUAUAUUUUUCAUGUGCGAACCCAGGUAAUUCCUCCCAGGCGUUUCAUCCUCGCAACGAAGAGCAUUAGCGGAGACUCGAGGUAUAUCUGCUAUGUCCACAUGCCUGAAGUCUAUAUUUAAUUCCAUAUGUAGCAGAUAGCUCAUUUCCCUUAUUUUCAUGUUAUUCUAGAUACUCUGUGUACAACAUAUUGUGAAACUCUUUUACUCUGUGUAGCCCAUAAGAUUCCGGAUUUUGGGAUUGUUACAGAAUUGUAGUGUUAAAGUGUAUGUGUCAGGCGCCAACUUUAUGCAUUUUCUUAUGUUAUUUAGCUUUAAGUUAUUGUUUUUCGUUAAGGUUGUAAAUUCCGCAAUGUAAUAGUCUUACCUAGUAAUGAAGACUAGGUGCCGUCAUGACAUGUUCACAAUUGGUGAACUAUGGUCAUGACAAUACUUCUGCUGAUGGAUCAUGGUCCCAUUUGGGAUUUGUUUGAUCUACAAGCCUAGGAAGAAGUUUAGUUCACCCAUCAUACUCAUUUCAAACUCACUUCCUAAUAAUUUUGCAAAACACUUACUCAACGUAUCAGUAGUGGCCCCAAAUAUUAUGUCAUCAACAUAUACUUGCACAGCAAGGAGGUCUUUACCUUUUUCCCUUAGGAACAAAGUGCUGUCAAUUUUACCUCUUUUGUACCCAUGCUCCAAUUGAAAUUUUGAUAGUCGUUCAUAGCUCUUAAGGACUAUUUAAGCCCAUAUAGAGCCUUGUCUAGCUUGUACACAUACUCGGGACAUUCCUUGCUUUCAACUCCUGCAUGUUGUUUCACAAACACUUCUUCCUUGAGGUAGCCAUUUAGGAAAGCACUUUUGACAUCCAUCUGAUGGAGAGUAAAUCCCAUAUGUGCUGCAAAGGCAAUGAGGAGUCUGAUUGCCUCUAGUCUUGCAACUAGAGCAAAGGUCUCAUCAUAGUCAAUGCCUUCCUCUUGGCUAUAGCCCAAAACCACCAGCCUUGCCUUAUUUCUUGUAACAGUUCCAUCUUCAUCAAGUUUGUUCUUGAAGAUCCAUUUUGUACCAAUGACUAAUCUGUCCUUGGGUCUAGGGACUAGAUGCCAAACUUGACUUCUUUCGAAUUGAUUGAGUUCCUCCUGCAUAGCAUUGACCCAAUCUGCAUCCUGAAAAGCCUCAACAACAUUUUUAGGUUCAAUAAGAGAUAGAAAAGCAUCAAGUUCACACAGAUUCUUUACUUGUGAUCCAUUUUUAACUCCAGAAGUUGGGUCAUUAAUGAUGUUCUCAGUGGGAUGACAACUUUGAUACUUGUGAGAUUUCACCACCAACUGGUUUCUACUAGAUAUUCUCCUACAUUCUGCUGCUGAGGAACAGGUUCAUAGACAAGUUCUUAUGGAGAGUUUGUUUCAUUUUCUCCCUGAUUAGUUCCCCCAUAAGGUUGCCCUGAGUGGAAGAACCUGUUCCAGCACUUAUUCCAUCACCUAUUCCUUCUUUGAUGCUACUUUAGUCAAUUCUUUUACCAUACCAAUGGCUUCAUCUUCAUGUUCCUGUCUCUUAGAAAAAAUGUUAGUUUCAUCAAAUACAACAUGCACACUUUAUUCUACACACAAAGUUCUUUUAUUGAAUACUUUAUAUACUUUUCUAUGUGAAGAAUAUCCCAAGAAUACUCCCUCAUCACUUCUGGGAUCAAACUUACCUAGGGAGUCUUUUCCAUUAUUGUGCACAUAGCACUUGCAACCAAAUGCCCUAUGGUGGAUUUUUUUGGUUUUUAUCCCUUUAAAUAACUCAAAGGGAGUUUUCUCAACAAGAGGUCUAGUCAUGCAUCUAUUGAUUAUGUAGCAUGCAGUGUUUAUAGCCUCUUCUCAAAAGUUGUGGGGGUAAUUUACUAGAGAGAAGCAUGGUCCUUGCCAUAUCCUUAAGGGUCCUGUUCUUUCUUUCAACUACUCCACUUUGCUGAGUAGUCCUAUGGGCAUAGAAGUUGUUAUCUAUACCAUCUUCAUCACAAUAUUCAGUAAAUUUUACAUUUUCAAAUUCAGUUCUGUGCUCAGACCUAAUGGAUGCAAGCUGAUUUCCUAAUUGUUUCUGAGUUUUUCUAACAAAAGCAGUAAACAUUUCAAAGUCUAAUCUUUAGAUGUCAGAAAUAGUACCCCCAGGUAUAUCUAGAAUAAUCAACAAGCAUCAUCACAUAUUUCUUUCCACCUCUGCUCAUAGUUCUUAUUGGACCACAAAGAUCCAUAUGAACCGGUUCCAACGUCUUGGACGUACUUACCAUUUUCUUGGAUUUGAAGGAUAACCUUACCUGCUUCCCCUUGCAUAUGCCUCACAAAAUUUGUCUUCCUUGAAAUUGAUAUUAGGUAACCCUAUCACCAAGUCCUUGGAGACUAAUUUGUUUAGCUGAUUUAGANNNNNNNNNNNNNNNNNNNNNNNNNNNNNNNNNNNNNNNNNNNNNNNNNNNNNNNNNNNNNNNNNNNNNNNNNNNNNNNNNNNNNNNNNNNNNNNNNNNNNNNNNNNNNNNNNNNNNNNNNNNNNNNNNNNNNNNNNNNNNNNNNNNNNNNNNNAAAAAUCUACAAUGUAAAUAUUGUUAACUCUUUUUCCCUGCAAAACAAUCUUGUCAGUGGUAAGGUUAAUCACAAAGCAUUUGGUAGAGGUGAAAGCUAAAAGGUUACCUCUGUCACAUAGUUGUGACACACUGAUUAGGUCAUAUUUUAAUCCAUCUAUCAAGUAGGCAUUCUAAAUGGAAUAAGAUCUGUCUUACCUACCUUUCCAACCCCAAUGAUCUCACAUUUCUUUCCAUUUCGAAAGGAGACAUUACCUCCUUUCAGGUUCACCUCCUUUCAGGUUCUCAAGUGAAAUGAACUAGUCCUUGUUCCCAAUCAUAUAUUUUGAGCAGCCACUAUCCAUGUACCAUAUUUGGUUAUUCCCUUUCACUUGAACCUGCAAAACGAAAUCAGCGGUUAGUCUUAGGAACCCAAACUAGUUUGGAUCCCUUUCUAUGGGCAAAAGGAUGAAUUAGAUUUUUUCUUCCCCAACCAGGCAGCUUGUGUUUUUAUUGAAGAAAAGUGUUCCAUUGACUGGCCUUUUCUUUUGCAUUGCAUUCAUUUAUAUAAUGGCCAGUCUUACCAUAGUGUGUGCAGAUCUUAUUUUUAGGAAGUGUGAGGUACUUGUUUUUGGGGUCCCAUUUUGGAACUUGAGUCCCAUAUCCAAGUCCUCUUUUAUUGCUACUGUGAUGCUCUUGCAACUAGGAGAGAGCAUCAGAAGCUUUGUUCCAUUUGCAAGUUCUGUCUAGUUCAUGUUUCAGCUUUCCAAGAUCUUCUUUUAGAACCUUAAUUAGUUCAUCUUUCUUGUAAAAUUCAUCAUUCAUUUUUCCUAGAUUUUCUUCUAGAGAAAGAAAUGAGUGAUCAGCUUUCUUCUUUCCUUUUCCUAGUUUCAGUUUUAGAUUUUUUUGGCCUAAGUUCUAGAAGACUAUUGUUAAGUUCAAGAACGUGGUUCUUCAACUCAGCAUUUUUAUUAUCACUCUCAUCAUCCCUAGAUUCUAGACUUUUGCAUUUUGCUUUUAGAUAACACAUUGCCUAGACAGAACUUCCUUUUUAUUGUUAACUAUCUCAGACUCAUCAUUAAAGUCUAAUAAUAGCUCAGCCAACCUUUCUUUAGAAAGAAAUUUAAUUUUGUCCUUGAGAUGCAGAAUACUUACCUCUUGCUCAUCAACUGAUUCUCCAAUGGCCAUAAGAGCUUGCUCUUCUUCAGCUUCAUCUUCUGAGUCUUCACCAGAGGUUUCACCCGUUGAUUCUCCAAUGGCUAUAAUAGCUUGCUCUUCUUCAGCUUCAUCUUCUGAGUCUUCAUCAGAGGUUUCACCCUAUGCAGCAACCAUAGCCUUGGUUGAACCUUUUGUUUUUGGUUGAACCUGUUUCUUCUUCCUGUUUCUUUGUUCAACCCUUUCUUUCUUCCACUUAAUUUCCCAUUGAGGGCGAUUCUUGAUCAUGUGGUCAGUCUUACCACACUAUAGCAGCCGUCAUUGGUUAUUUCUCAGGAGCUCUUGUCUUGUUGGAGUAUGUACCUCUUGAUGAACCAUUUCCUCUCAUCAGGUACUUUUUGAUAUCUCUAGUGAUCAUAGUCAUCUCAUCCUCUUCCAGAUCUGAACCUUCUGUAAUUUUGAGAGCUAAGAUUCUCUCCUUCUUGAGUGUAUCCAUCUUUCUGGUUUUCCUUCUUAUAAAUAAGCAGUAAGAUUUCCAAUCAGUUCAUCCAGUAAGAUUUACCUCUUCAAGGAUAACAUGCUCUGAUACCAAUUGAUGUUCCAAACGUCAACACCACACAGGGGGUAAUUUGUGUGGUACCCAAUUUUCGAUCCAGAAGAACCUGGUUCUUCUAGGUGUUCUAACUACGACUGUUUGCGGAAUUAAAAUAUAGAAAUAAAAGAACAUAGAGAUUUUUACAUGGAAAACAUCUGGCUGAAAGGUUAAAAACCAUGACCUACUACCCAGUAGGAUUUUCUCAAAUAUCCACUAAAAUCAAUGAUCCAAAACAGAAUUUACAAAACUCUUAUAAACCUAAGGAUUAACUCUAAUCCCAGUGUGGCACACUGCCUCAACUGUUGCGACACCUUCAAGUUAACUCUAACUUGAAUACUCAAAGUACCUAAUACAAUUGCUUCUAUGAAAGCUAGAAAGGUACAAGUUUUAAACCACCUACUACAAUUGAACUAGAAUUAGAAUAAACAGAAUGGAACUGGUUCUUCUAUCUCUUAAACUUGUUACAGGAGUGCACACUUGAUCUCACAUAAAUUGCUUGCAAAAUUGCCUUGCCCUUUUGCUCUCAAUUUAUCUUAACUUCUGUGUAUGUGCAUACUGUAGAAGAGAACAACUCAGUUAUUUAUUAGGUUAGUAAUCAGAGUUUGAUUGUGACUAUUUAUUUAACCUUCAUUGAAUUUGAGUCCUAGAAUAAUCCAAACUCCAACCCUUAUCCGGAUGUGUUCUUUUCUCAUAAGAAGACUUCUUCUCCUUAUUCCAUAUGCAAUAUAUUCAAUAAGUUCAGAAAAUAUUCAGUAGAUAUUGCCUCUUGAUCCCAAAGGCUUAUAUUCUUCACGUUCAUCUCAUGUGCAUGGGCCAUAACCACUGUGUCUCAUAAGAUGGACCUCGUCCUUCACUGAGUUUAUUUGUCAUUCUUCAAAACUUCAACUUAACUUGGGCCAAAGUUUCUUUCGCGAAUUUUUGUUAAGUUCUCCAUUUUUGAAGACGGGAAGUGAGCUAGUGCAGGGAAUUUGAAGGGGAAAUCAAAGAGUAUGAGUUGCGUAAGUUACCUAAGCUUCAUUACUUGUGUUUAUGACCAUUUUUCCAUUGUUUAAUCAUGGUACUAGUGGAAAUUAAGGAAGAAAAUUGAGGAAUUAGGGCUUGAUAUUGGAGAGCUUUGAGUGGGGAUUUGAGGGGCCACUUGAGAUUGGAUUUCGAUGCUUUUGGUAUGAAUAGACUCUUGGGAGGACAAGGAUUCUAUUAAUGUGGUUUUUAUGGAAUUUUAAGACGUGGGACCGGGGGUCGGGUUUUGGUUAAUUUUGGAAUUUUUGGUAUAGUUUGAUUAUUUUCGCAUGGGCUUCGUUCCCUUAGAAUAUUCUAAUAUUAUGAUUCUUAUUUUGGGUAGAUUCAGCGCGAGUUCAAGCCGAGGUGAGAGGCAAAGGCAUCACGGAGUAGUAUUUAAUCCGGUUUGAGGUAAGUAAUCAUUUUAAAUCUGGAACUGAGGAUAUAAAACCAUGGUAUUUCGUAGUGUUUUAAUGAGUUAGGUGAGGCACAUGCUAGGUGGCAAGCGUGUGGGCGUGCACCGAUAGGAAUUGUGACUUGGUCCAUCCCGUAGUGACUAUUAAGCCAUGUAUUUGAUUUGAAAUCUUAUAAUAUCACGUAUUUUAUAGAUUGAUAUUACGUUAUCGGCUGUAUGCCAUGUUUGGGGCCUUGUGCUAACCUGUUGAGACCCUUAGGGCAUUUUUACUGUUUUCCUCACUCUAUUUAUUUGAAAGCAUAUCAUCAGUCGUGUUUACCUGUUUAUUUUAUUGACCUGGUUUUUAUCACUCGAAUUCUUAAAAUAUGAAAGCUAUUUGCGCUGAGUUUUCCUGAUUUUCAUUGUUAUACCCGAGUAGCUAUACUUAUAUGGAACGGGUUGCACGCCGCAGCAAUAUGUAUAUUAGAUUGGGCUGUGCGCCGCAGCGAUAUGACACUUGGGCUGUAGGAGACCCUCCAGAGUCUGUACACCCCAAUGAGCGUAGUCAACUACAAACUAUGGAUCGGGCUAUAUGUCGCAGCGAUUUUAUGAUUUUUACUAUUAUGAAAUAUUAUCGAGCCUGAGUGGCGAAUGUGAGUACUGUGUGACAAGAGCCGAGUCACGAGUGGCUGAGAGGCUUGCCCGUGAGGCUACAUUUAUGAGUGAUACCUUGCCUGAGGUGCCCAUUUAUGACAUUUUUGCUUAUUUCACUCUUCUUUUAUAAUGAGCUUCCGUUGAAAACUGCUAAGUAAAUGAUUUCAAAGUAUUUCAAUAGGAAACUAAAGUUUUUACGAAGUAAUUGGCUUUUAAACUGUUGAGUUUAGUUUGAUACUCUGUUGCCUACUAUCGUAUAUAAUUUUUAAUUGCUCGUCACUGCACUCAGACCUUAUUUACUUUAGUUAUUUACUGAGUUGGCGUACUCACGUUACUCUCUACACCUUAUGUGCAGAUUUAGGUGCCCGAGAAGCAGAGUGA